UAGUGCGCAUAUUUUACGGAUUUACGUAGACAGUAAUAAAUGUUGGUACUGCCAUCUAUUUUAGCAGUGGCUGCUCAAUUCAUACUGCUGCCAUCUAUGUGUGCAUUAAUCCCAAACUUAAAAUAUUGGUAUUCUUAAGCAGGCAGCAGGUGAAAAGUGAAAUGACGUUCCACCACUUAGAAGGCGGUGGCUUGGGUAGCAUUCAUUGUGAUGUGUUGGCACGUUGCAUCAACUUCGAAUUUAUGUGAAAGAUGAUUUGAAAGCAUCAAGAACUCUGGUACUUACUUCCUUCAGAUAUAAUUUGGCUACAGAAUGCAAGCAAUUAUGGCUACUGAAGAAGGUGAAUCCUUGGAGCCUAUUAUGCGUAUCCCUGCUUUCCAGCCAAAAUUGUUUACACAUUUUUCAACUCGCCAAUGGGCAUAGCUGUUUUAUGAACCUUAAGCAGUUGUGAUUGGUCACGUUGCUUAUGCAGACUUACAGCAGCAAGGGUAUGGCAGUAUCACAACAGUGCGCCCAUGUGCUCCUGCAUUGUCAUUGGUUGAACUGUUCAACAAGCUGCUUCUGAGUGCCAAGGAAGGUGACACAGAGCAAGUACGAUUUCGCAUGAGCAAAGGAGCACCAUUUACUACGGACUGGGCAAGUCCGCAGUUUGUUGUUAUUCAAAACUGAGUGGCUUGAAGUCAAAUUUAAUAGAGAGACAUUAUUCAAGAGUUCUCCUGAUGCAUGGCACCUUUUAAGUAACGUGUAAUGCAGUUGGAACAAAUUCUUGAGUGACACAGUUUUUGCUUUUCCUCUCAAAGUCUACAUCAUAACCACAUAGUGGACAAGUUUGAACUCUCCACUUAUCUUACAAAUUUGUGGCCUACUUUCAGAAAUUGUAGGUUGAGUUUGUAUAUGUAAUACAGUAGAAUCAUCAGUUGAUGUUACCUGAUGAGGUUCAGUUACAUUUUUAUUGGUUGGAUCUAGUGAACAUGGAGGCUCCAUAAUAGGAAGGGAAUUUCUGUGGAUUAUGGAAUCUGAGUUAGGUGUGGAUAAUAAAAAUAUGUCUUUUGAAGGAUAUCACUUACAUGCAAAAAAUACUUGAUUUGUUUAGAAUUUUUGUGUUUAUAUUCAGCUAGUAUUAGUUUUAAAUUUGGAAGUAUUUAGUAAUGAUUUUUCUAUGGAAAAUUUCUGAGUCUUAGUAUUCUAAGUCUGCCUUCAUUGAAUAUUUAAUCUCCCUGUCUAUCUACAUGUUAAAUUUAUUCUGUCAAUUUAAAUUUCAAAUAUGUGGUCCCCAAGAGGAAAGUGAAAUGGAGAAUGACAGCAACAAAGACAAAUGAGGACCAUUUUGAGAGCAGCGUAGAUUCAGGAUUAAGUAACGUAGAUUAAAACCUUCUGAGGAAGUAAGUAACGGUUUUUGCUGACUGCUGGGAACGAGUCCACUUCAUCUGGCAGCUCAGUAUGGUCAUGCCACUACAGCUGAGGUACUCCUA